GAUACGAUAUUAUCAUGAUACUUUGGCCACAAUACAGCAUUAUUACGUUACUUGGGCCAUGAUACAAUAUUAUCAUGAUACUUGGGUCACGAUGAAUAUUAUCACUAUACUUGGGGCAUGAUACGAUAUUAUCUCGAUACUUGGGCCACAAUAAGAUACGAUAUUAUCACGAUACUUGGGCCAUGAUACGAUAAGAUACGAUAUUAUUGCUAUUGUUAAUGUUUUGCAUUACAGCGAGUGUUGCGAUACUAUAUAUUGUGAUUUAUACAAUCUUUUCAACUAUUUAGCAUUUGGCUUUCCAUUCUAUUUGUCUCAUUCAUGCAGUAUUUUAUUUUCAUGCAGCACAUCUUGCAAACCUUAUAUAUUAUUUGUUGAACUAACUUUCUCCUGCGCUAUGAUGUCACCUCUGCCAACCUCACUGGACAAACAGUUGAUUUUAUUUUUCCAUUAUUGUAGAUUUGACUUCAUAUUAGCGAUUAAUUUGAACAAUUGAUACUUGGAAAAUGAGACAAUAAGAUAUAUCACCAGACAAAAUAUCGUGACACUAUGUUGUAUUGAUUUUUUUCUCCCACCCCUAGCACCAUCCCUCACCCUCUAGUCCCCACAUUUCUUGUCUCUCUACCACCAAAAAAAUUGAUUUAAGAAAGAAAGAAGGAAACACUUUUUGAACAAUUAUUAAAUCUGGUCAAACUUCUUCUUUUGAUGAUAUCAGUAACUUUUGUUAAAGCAGGAAUACCAGUCCGAAACUGUGGAAGGAUGGCAAACUAAAUUCAAGUUUAACACUGCCUGUACAGCAGAUAAGAAACGAUUUGAUAAUGGAGAGAUACAGGGCACACGGUUGGGAUCAGGGGUUUAAGCAUGCUUCAUACACUGAGGAUGAAGUCCUCAUCGCAGCAGCUGUGAGUCUGAUUCUGACCUUGGCCCUUUGCUGCAUGUUCAUUUACCAGUUUCUCCUCCCAAUGCUUCUUUAUUUUAAGUUAUCUUCUUAAAUAGAGGCCAAAAAAUAUCAAGAAAAAGGAGUAAAAUUUUCUAAAAUGAGACAUCUUUUCAGUGUUAAACUCAGUGCACACCUCAUGAGGUUAAAAUUGAUUGUUAUUGGAGCUGUAUGCUACAAAUCAUGACCAAAUGUACCAAAAUUUUAAAGUGGAAAGUUUUUUUUAAGAAACAAAAUUAACAUAAAAUUUUCUGCUGUUCUUGAUUGAUUCCUCCUUCAGUUUGUCUGAUUGUCUGUGAGCAGUUUUGAGGUUAAAAUAACCAGAAUAAACCGUCUCAGACCGCUCUUUUGUUUCCUCCGGGUAUCACUUAUCAGGCGACCGCGGCCACACAGACAGUCACACACGCACACGCAGCCGUCCGCGCCUUCUGAAUGGUCACAUUUACGUGUACAUUGAACAGAGUCAAUUGGCUGUCAAAUGCUGUGCGCGAUUAGACACCAGUAGGUAUAAGACCUAAUGUGACCGAGCCUCCCAGAGCCUGGACGAUGUGGGGCCCCGCUCUGUGAACCCCAUGGCCCCUCUCACUCCCCCUCUCCCCCGUUUUCAUCCCACCGCCCCAGUUCAAUGUUAAUGUCCAGCUCUGUCCACUCUGCGGACGUCUCCCGAGAAGAAAGAGUUAAAGAGAGAAAGAAAACCAAACCUUCCCUCCUUCUUUUCUCACCCUGGCCUCCUCUUGUGUGCUGUCCAGCUGGCUGUGACCCUUGACCCCCUGACCCUUACUCCUGACCCCUGGACCCGUUCCCACGCCACGCCUUUUUGUGUCCACCUCGCCAUGGCAACACCUUGGCCACUGCUGCUACCACGGUAACAGAUGGACAGGGCCCUGGAAAUAACUUCAUUCAGCCCCGCCCGGAGGGGUGAGCACCAUGGACAAUCUGCCCUAAACUCCCCCUGCCUCACUCCUCCUCCUCCUCCUCCUCGCUGCCUCACACACACACACACACACAUAUACACACACUUGGACACACAGAGCGCCCCCAAACCAACUCUGACACCUCCUGCGCCACACUCUAACACCCCAAUCCUCUUGGAUGUAUUCCCUCAGCAGGGGCCUUUGGCUAUCAGAGCCUGAUAGAGUCAUUAACACACAGAUCCCAGAUUCGGCCUGGCAUCUACGCGGGACAUACAUGGGAAUGAGAAUAAGUUCCUGUUGUUGGCACAGAAGAGCACAUAAAAAGACACCCAGAGUCACCCACAUAUCCCAUUUCACACUGCCGGUAUUUAUGGUUCAGGGCGUAGGAGCGCUGACUUCAUCGCCGCGUUGUAAUUAUCUCUCUGCCUCUUUUAUUAGCUCCUUUGUUUCCUCACAUCCUCUGAUGAGGAAAGGGGCCGGGGUGAGAGUUGUAAAGACACAGAGCUGAGCAGCGGGGGAUCUGUUUGCUAACUCAGAGACAAACGACAAAGUGAAUAGCAUCGCGGAGGAGCUCAAUAAGGUGCAACAGGAAAAUGAACUGCAACAGUGUUGGUGCUAAUCAGUAACCAACUUCGAAACAAGGUUGUGUGUGUUUUGUCCCCUUCUUUAAGGGGAACACCUCUCGGACAGAGACUGUGAAUAGAUUAGAGGGCUAAAGUGUAAUUACUCCUGUUGAAUGGGGUCCUGCAUGGCCGUGCAGAGGAAGAGAGGGUUCAUGCUGUUGAAACACACUUGUCUUUGUGAGGCCCGGCUCUGAUCCUCAUCCUCAUCUUGUGCUCCCUGCAGAGAGAAAACAAACAACAGACAAAUAAACAAACAAACAAACAGAAUGGCGUCAAACUCUCCCGGCUCGACUCGUAUCUGCAGCCAUGUGUAAAGAAAGACGUAUAUCAUUUAUUUUUGAAGCAUUCGGAGGGUCACUUUCUGAAAACUUUCACUUGAAUCUGCCUCAAAUGCGAGCCUGUGGGAGGUUUUCUGAGUUGGAUCUUCUGGGGAGCAGGUGGGGAGGGGGGCAACGCAAGCAACCGCCAAAAUACUGACCAUUGAGGCAAAAUCACACAAGCGAAGCCACUUAUUCAAUUUUUGGGGUUCGGUAUCCCCCUUCCAUCUCUUCAUGCAUCUACAUCCUACUAUCUUUCCCUCGAGACCCCCACCCCUCUUGUGUGUCCAACACCCCCUCAUGCAACCCUGUCCCCCCCUUUUCUCUCCCCCUCCUCCCCUCUGCCUCUCGCCCAGUUCAUUGUACCAAGGGAGAUUUUCUCCAUUGAGGCCCAGUCUCUUAGGUAACCCCAGCGCUGCAUGAAAUGAGGAGAGGAAGAGAGCGAGAGACAGGGAAUGAGAGAGAGAGAGAGAGAGAGAGGGAGAGGGAGGGAGAGAGAGAGGGCGGGGAUAUUAAAGGAGAGCGAGAGGGCGAAGGAAAUGUAAAGGCGGAGGGAGGGCCGGACAGAAAGUGUUGAAGAGGGAGAGGUAGAGGGACGCAGGAUCAGAGGAGGCUGAGACGAGGAGAGAGGAAGAUGGAGAAGUAGGACAAGUGCGGUCAGACGUCGACAGCGAUGCAGCGAAAAACUCGACCCAGAACUGAGGGAGGAAGACAGAGAAGCGAGGAUGACUGUCGCUCAUGUAAGGAUGAAUCCUCUGUGGCUGAGAGGGACUUUAUCUCACACUUUCUGCAGUUAGUCCUGCUCCAGGUUUUAGGCCCUUAAGGGUCCCAAUCCUGGACACUGCUGCACUUUUAUCUUUUCUGUUUCUUGUUCUUUUAUUUUUAUUUUUUUGCUUUGAGCUGUUUUUAACUGAUGUUGAAUUGGGCAUUUCUAAUUUUUCCACUUUUUAACAGGGCAGGUCUCUCUAAAAUGAGGCUCAGUGGUCUGUGUGGUAGCAAUACCUGAAGAGAAGUGUCCACCAGAUGAGUUUAGGCCUCUAGGCCUCUUUUCAGACCUGCGUGGUCCAAGCAAAGGGAUCUGUUCUUUAGUUUUAUCAGGAAAAUGGAGCAACUUAAUUCAGUUUGCAGCAGAUAGUUAGGAAAAGGAAAGUUCUGUUUUUUACUAGUGUCUUAUCAUGUUUUAUUGGUAUUUAUCACUAACUGUUAUUUGAAGCACAUGCAGAAAAGAGGUGUUACAGUUUAAGUAAGAUAAAGUAGAAAAAUUAACAUUUGUAUUUUAGCUUUCAGGCGUCUUUGCAGACUUUUUAGUUGUACUUUUAAAACUUUUGUUGUGAUGAUGUGUUGGCUCUGGGAUUUAGGUGCAAACUCUGUUCUGAGCAGAGACUUUGACUGUAAGGAAAGGAGUCUCUGAAACGCUGCCAUCCUUUGUGGCCAUGCUGCUCUGCACCUCAAUGGUGGGCACACAGCACAUGGGGUUCCCAUGAAUAGACCAGGCCUCACCAAAGACCACAUCAUUUGGAUAAAGACGGGCUCCCACAGAAAGAGAAAAAACCUCACAGAGCGAACCAGAUAAAGAUAAAAAGUUGCAUACGGCAAAUCAGAUUAGGGCGAGUCAGAGCUUUACUCUUUCGUUCUCAGGUUUUUUUUUCUUCUUCUUCUCUCCCUCCGCCCUCCUGCCUCCAACUCUGUUAAAUUUACUACUGCUGCUGCUCAUGCGUCUCAUAAUAAUGCGCUCUACUGCUGCGCUGAGUUAUCAUCUCAAGCUUUUGUCUUCUUUGAUCGGUGUGACCGUUGGGGGACCCACUUCUUCUUUUGUACAGGGUCACAUCACUGGCUCCUUUUGGACAGGCCUGCCCCCGGGUGGUGACCCCUUCGUUCAUCAUGGUGUCACCCUCACAGAGGACAAGCAUGAGUUAGAGCUUUCUCCCUCUCUCUUUUCUCCUCUCCCCUUUCUCCUCGCCUUCCCGCUCAUUCCUCUGCUCUGGUGUGACCGUCCUUUCCUUCUUGUUCAUCCGUUCGUGUUGACCUGAGGUGAGCCGGGGGUCAAACGCUAUUAUCAAACCGAGCUUAGGCGAAAGGAGGAUGGAAAUGCACCAUUCACUCUUUGACACAACUGAAGUGAAAGUGACUCAACUUCAGAAACCUUCAGUCACCAGCCAGAACACCAGGCCUUCAGUUUCUCACAGUCCAGUGUAAGUGUGUGAACGUCCCAAUGACCAUGAGAACCGUAGGGAUCCGGAGCUGAUUGUCCAAACGCAAUUCUUGCGUCUGCCUUUGUGAAACCAGGAGUUGUGGAUGGACAUCACGCCCCUGAACUCUAAAAUCAGCGAUGGUCUGACCGCCACGGACGAGAUCGAGCUCGGUGUCUUUGUGGAUGGAUGAGCGAGAGACACUGAAAGACAAACAGAGAGAGAGAGAGAAAGAGAGAGGGAGGCUGUGUGUUUAUGUAAAUGUAAAGCCUGUCGGAAUCCGUCUUGACAUUUCUGGAGGUCGGAUCAACUUUUUUCUUCAAACAAAACCUGAAAAGUUUCACAUUUUUGCUUGGACAAGAUUCCUCUUUGAAGUCUUGGCAAAAAGUUUGAGUAUUAGCGGUGAUUUCUGCUUUUUAGAUCAACUCAGGUGUGCAGAGCAAGACUAUGAGGUCGAUCAUACAGAGUUUGGGGGACAGCAGCAGAAUAAGAAGUUCAUUUCUGCUGCAAAUUUCAACCUAGCUGACAACAUAUUUCACUGUAAAGCUCCUCCUUUUAAAAUCUUUUCAUGUCACACUGACGUUCAAACUUUAAUUUUUUUAGUUGGCAAGUCGCUCAAAAGUCUGUGUGAACUUUUGGGAUUAAAAACACCCAUAACAACGAUUGUUGCAGCUAUUGUUUUCUCUGUUUUUGAUAUUUCUUCUGCCCAGGUGCGAAGUCUUACGUUCACACAGGCUCGGCUCUGCAGAUCAGGGGUGUCCCAUUUUGGGGAAAGGGGGUUAGAGUCUGUCUGAGGAGCAGAAAGAGCUGAAUGGCUCUCACCAUGUUAAGUACAGUUGAAUGUGUCCGGUUCGCACUUCAGCAGCGGCGUCUAGAGAGGGGUCUCACUAAAUCUGCACUGGAAGGGGUGAGAGUGACAGAAAAGGAGAGUGAAUGAGAAUGUGUGUGUGUGUGUAUGUGUGUGCGCAUACGUAUUCUUUCUGUGUUUGCCUCUGUGAGUUUGCCUCUGUGUGUUUUUUCCUGUGUUUGACAAAGUUCAGGGGGCCAGACUUGGAGAAAGAAAGGGGAAAAUGAGAGAAAGUGAAGGAUUUGAAUGAGGUGGUGAGAGAGGGAGUGAGACGGCGAGCUGGAUGAAAAAAGAAGGCAGAGAUCUGACAGAAAGAGGGGACAGAGAGGAGAUUUUUGGAGGGAAAAAGGAUAUCCAAGCACCUUGAAAUAUGUGUGGCGAAACAGUCUGCUGCUUCACAGCACGAGCGGCGUAAAUUGGUGAUAUUAAUAGAUAGAAGCUGCAGGAAGCAACAACUCGGUCUGGGAAAUACGUACGGAGAAAGAGAAAGAGUGAGGGGAGGAGAGAGAGAGAGAGAGAGGGUGGGAGGCAGAUCAAGAGCGGGGCUGUAUUAAUAUGCUAAUGGCCUGAGUGAAUGCACAACAGGCCCACUGACCAGGCUAAUCACUGGUGGACACACACCAAGGCUAAUCCCUCACGCAGCACUCUCUCGUAGUCACACACACAUGCACAUGCAAAACAGGUUCGAAUUUUUGAACAGUGGCAUAAUUUUCAGGAGUUAUUUCUGUUUCCCAGCACACUGAACCUGAAUAAGACAGACUGAAGAUGAGGUUUGAGGGAUGACUUUCAGGUUUGGUUGAAGAUGUUGUGUCCAACUUUGUGCAGUAAAACUUCAUGUAACAUUUUCAGUCAUUUGAUUAAAGUGUAGAAAAAAUGGAAGAUCUCAUACUGAUACUGCACCUCAUUUUUUUCCCAAUCAGCACAGGAGAGCAGAGACAAAUGUUUUUUAAAUGCAUGUAUUUUCCAAAUAGACAGAGUUUGCAUCUUUUCUGUAACUUCUUUUUUUGCCUCAUGACAGGUUAAAGGAUGG
rnacentral:lncRNA from 1 species